CAAAGAGUAGUUUAAUUUAGAAUACUAGCUUUGGGAGUUAGUGGUAGGGGUUAAAAUCCCUUCUCUUUGA
rnacentral:tRNA from 1 species